rnacentral:rRNA from 1 species
UAAUUUACCUUCGGUGGGGAAUAACAAUCGGAAACGGUUGCUAAUACCGCAUGAUGCAGCGGCACCACAUGGUGACAGUUGUUAAAGCGGGGGAUCGCAAGACCUCGCGCCUGAAGAGAAGCCCGCGGCAGAUUAGCUAGUUGGUAAGGUAAUGGCUUACCAAGGCAACGAUCUGUAGCCGGCCUGAGAGGGCGGUCGGCCACACUGACACUGAAUAACGGGUCAG